UACGUAGGGUGCAAGCGUUAAUCGGAAUUACUGGGCGUAAAGCGUGCGCAGGCGGUUGUGCAAGACAGAUGUGAAAUCCCCGGGCUCAACCUGGGAAUUGCAUUUGUGACUGCACGGCUAGAGUGUGUCAGAGGGGGGUAGAAUUCCACGUGUAGCAGUGAAAUGCGUAGAGAUGUGGAGGAAUACCGAUGGCGAAGGCAGCCCCCUGGGUCAAGACUGACGCUCAUGCACGAAAGCGUGGGGAGCAAACAGG
rnacentral:rRNA from 1 species